AAUCCAUGAUGUGGACAUAUGUUCAUCGGGUCCUUGAAUCUCUCCCAGCAAACCUAGAAGGUCUCGUCAACCUUCUGCAUGAACUGAUUGAUCUGCUCCUACAGGU